CUUUUGCCUCUGGUGACUGAUGUGGUUGAUUCCUCUUGUCUUAAAUAGCAGCCUAACGAGCGUGCUUUGGGCAGAGUUCAUUUUAAGAGACCGCUUACUGGGGAAGACCCUGUAAGUUUUGAUUUACCCUGCUGCACCAUCAAGUUUUUCCUACUGAUGAAUGCAAUGAUCUGCUCUGAAAAAUGUGAGCAAGAGUGAAAUGGCACCUCUGCUUUGUCCUCUGCUUGUUCUCACCCUUGCUAUAACAACUCCUUUUAGCAUAUCAAGAGCAUUGCACUUUGCUUUUUGUUUGUAGUUUUGCCUCAGCAAAACAGCCUUUCAUAGCUGUAAAGGCUUACGGAAGAAAGUUUCUGGCAAUAUCUGUAGGAGUUGCAGUUCUUUACUGUGCAAAUGCUGAAAUCCGUGUCUUGCUUUAAUGUUUCUUGGAGCUCAAAUAUUUUUGGAUAAACAAAGCAUUUCACGUACUGUAUAAACCGCUUACAGGCAACCUUUUUACCCUCAGACUGGAAUGCAGCCAUCGUGAGCGCUGCAGCUGAACAAGGAGCUCUAACAUAGUUGAGGGCCAGGAGUGGGAUGUAGAGGGGCAACGUGUCAUAUCUAAAUGUUAAUUUUGAUCGGCGUAUUGCACUCCAAGCCAUUUAUUGUAUGAAAAAUUACUGGCAUCCAUAACCAGAAUAAUUUUUAUUUAUGCAACAGUUUACAGUAUUUUUUCUCCUCAAAAUUGUCACUGAGUAUUGCUGUGUAGUAAGCAGGAGCAGCUAGAAAUGUAUUUGAGGAGUGCUGGCUUAACACCCGCCCCGUCCGGUUCUGCUGUAGAGAAAUAGAUGGGAAGCGAUGGCCGAAGUGCUCCCGGUAAGCAGGUGUGGUAGGUCGGGCUUAGCGCCGACGCCAGCAAAUGUGCGUUCUGCUGUUAGCCGGUGGCGUGCUCGCGUGUCGUUCAGGCCGUGCCCAGCGCCGCCGCCUGUGGUUGCUGCUCAGUCCCUUCAUUCUGUGGGCUGUUUCAAUCCUGGAGGAAACACAAAGCAUGCUGUUGACAUUUGUUAAAUGUUGCUAGCAGCAUUGGAGGCCAAAGUGAUCGGCUUUUUGGGAAAUUGGGGUACUUUGGCUUUGCCAGAGAUGGCGCCUCGUAUGAAAGAGUAUAAAAAUCAGUUGUCUGCCACUUUUAAUGCUUGAAAAUCUUAGUAUGGCAUCUUGGAAUCGUGGAGGAACCUAUUAAGAUAAAGUCCAUUUCUGUAUAAUUUUUCUUGGAGAGGAAAGGCACAUUUCUGGCAUUUGUUACUUUACGGUAAAGGUUUUCUAAACCAUCUCCCACGUGUUAUUACAGAGGGAAGAGUGUUCUCAGUCUGUGGCUUGUAACCUGGCUUCUGUUUAUGAGAAGGAGCUGAGGGAGGAAACCUGGCAGCUUGUGACAACUUAGAAGUUAGGUAGUAGUGUAAACAUACCUGCUUGGAUCCGUAAGUAGCCCGGAAGCCAGAAACAAGGAUUUCUUUCCACCCCAUCUGUGUGGGAGAUGGGAUGUGGCAGUAACUGGAGUCCCGAGGCGUGGGCAGUGGCACGUAGACUCCCCUCUCCGCACAGCCGUGGACGUGUGGGGCUCCUUGCCAGAUAACGCUAUGGACACAAGGCAUUUAAAUGGGAUGACAUUCGGGAGGGAGGGGCUGAGCAAGUAUUCGGAUGAGAGAUUCCCCCAAGGUUACUAAAUACAGGCUCAGGAAACUCCUGGAGCUGAAAAUAGCCAGAGCCUUGCCUGACACAGGGCACGCUGCGUAGCUGCUCUCACACGUUGAGUCAACUGAUGCAGCAGAACAGCUAGGAGCUGGGGUGGUGGUGGUGGUGGUUGUUGCAUGGGGAUAUCGUGAAAAUAAAAGCCCUGAAACUUGGGGUGACUGAAUUUAAGAAUUGUAAUGGUGGAAGCAAAUGCCAAAGUUCUAGCUGUGUGGUGGUAGCCACUGAAGGGCAUCUCUGGAAAAAAUCGUGGCUGAUCUUGGGUAUGCUGGCUUCAGCCCAGAGGUGCCCAGAGAACACCUCCUGGUUUUCCAUUUUACAGCCUUUCUUUAAGGUUUCCUGGGCAGUAAGGUGAAUUGAAAAGCAGGUUAAGAUGGGAUAGCUGCCCAAGCACUGCAUACCCGGCAGUGUUUGCUGUUCUGGUAUCAGUGUAAUUAUCUUGCAAAUCUUCUGUUUAGAGGAGACCCACGUACAAAGUAUUAAGAGCUUAAAAAGGCUUAAAGAAGCUUCCUUUAUAAAUUUCAGUGUUGCUAACAGCACAUUUUUGUAUACUCGAAAAAUCUAACUGCUGGAGUAACUUAGGGAAAGCUGCUUGGGCGCACUUGGAAUGUAUUUGCAAAGUGAGCAGAGAAUGUGUUGGGUUUUGGGGUUUUUUUUGGGGGGGGUGGUGGUGUUUUGUUUGUUUGUUUUUCCAUUUCAGUGGGGGUCUUGCUGUACUUCAGGAAGCAGGUUGGUUUUAGCUUACCUGCAAAGUUUGAGCGAUGAACACACAACUUGUCGGCACGUCUCUCCAGCUGUCCUGCUAAGUAUCCCCGACCUCCCUGCCCAGGAGAACCGUCGGCAUCCACUGGUGCUCCUGGAAUCUGACGCACUCCCUGCAAGGCACUGCGUGCCCUUGGAGGAGCAGCGAGGCCAGAGCGAGCGGCUUGUGCGCCUGUGACGCAGGGCGGCCGACAAAGGAGGCAUUCAGUCACCAGCGGAGGAUCACGUUCCAGAAGCGAAUCUGAACUAAUGCUCUUAACCCUGCCGGAGCUGAACAAACACACAGCGGAUCUGGUUCUGUGCCCUGCUUAUUUGCCUUAACUUCUCCAGACUGCACGGUCUGUAAAUGUCCCUGUCUCACCGUCCUGCCUGUCCUCCCUUUGAGAUCAGCACGUCGAGGUGAGCCAUUUCUGUCUCCAUCCCCUCAGCAGAAACAUGUAGACUGUGCUUGUCGUGGAGUCCUCAGCUUCCAUCCCAUUCUCCUCCAGCUCCUGUAAAGUCAGGAUAGGUACCAAUCAAUGGAAGAUGAUCCAUGAGAUGCCAAACACCAGUGUUUGAUUGGUAAAAAUCAGCAGUACAAUAAGCAAUUUGAAGUAGUUCCUAUGGGUGGCAGAAGACAGGAAACUUCACUCGUAUUAUCGCCUGUUCCAAGAGCGGCAGUGAGGUCUGUAACCCCUGUUGUACCCUGCGUUCCUGAUCCCUGACAUGUUUGCAUCAUGGACUCACAAGGUGAAUCUGGGAAAUUUUGAACAUCUCACCCUGUAGGGACAGUUGAAAAUACCAGUGUGGAUCAAGUAAAUUCUCUGUCCUGGCAUCCUUCUAGUGUAAAGAUUUCCAAGUGUCCGUGGGGCAGUUGGCACCCGCAGUGAGAGGGAGGUUCGUAGCAACCUUGGGGCCAGACGCAUGGAGAGGAGUGUGUCCUGUAGGGUGUUUUGUGGAAGGCUGAACAACAGGAAGGUGGGGAGGAGUGAUUGUUUCGGAAAUAAGGGGAAGAGACCAUCUCCUGUUAAUGGAUUGCUACUUGUUGUGUACUUGUGUGCCAGAUCUCUUAUGACAUGACCCAAAAAUAAAUCUAGGAGACAGGCAGAGGGGGGUUUGGAUCUGCUUAUUUCUUAAUGGAAGCUGAUUCCCCCUCUGUUGUAUCUCCUCCUCUCUAUGCUGUGGUUAUUUAGUUAGAGACCUCAAAAGUUUGUUGUCUUAACUUGUGCUCAUGCAGUCCUUUUCCCACACUUCCAAAAAUUAUACUUUGCCUUAUUUGCAGCAUAAAAUGGAAAUCAAGACUUGGUGGUGUACGGCUGGCUUUGAACAAACUGGUGCGGGAAGUACAGAGAUGUCUUGAUGUGAGACUGAGCGCGGUCGGGUGCUGCUGUGACAGAAGUGGAAGUGUUAAUGGUGAAGAAAGCGUGCUUGCUGCAAGCGCUGUCCUUCGCUUGUCACCAAAGUCUUUUGAGCUUCUUCCCUUCAGUUCUGUUCCCAGUCCCCCAUUCAG